rnacentral:rRNA from 1 species
UACAGAGGGUGCGAGCGUUGUCCGGAAUCACUGGGCGUAAAGGGCGCGUAGGUGGCGACCCAAGUCCGUGGUGAAAGCUCGUCGCUUAACGACGAGUCGGCCACGGAGACUGGGUGGCUUGAGCACUGUAGGGGCUAAUGGAAUUCCGGGUGUAGCGGUGGAAUGCGUAGAGAUCCGGAAGAACACCAGUGGCGAAGGCGGUUAGCUGGGCAGUUGCUGACACUGAUGCGCGAAAGCGUGGGGAGCAAACAGG